rnacentral:rRNA from 1 species
UGGGGAAUAUUGCGCAAUGGAGGAAACUCUGACGCAGCAACGCCGCAUGAGUGAGGAAGGUUUUCGGAUUGUAAAGCUCUGUCAGACGGGAAGAAUUCCGUGGGGUCCAAUAGGCCCUGCGAUUGACGGUACCGUCAAAGGAAGCACCGGCUAACUUCGUGCCAGCAGCCGCGGUAAUACGAAGGGUGCAAGCGUUGUUCGGAUUUAUUGGGCGUAAAGUGCGCGCAGGCGAGUUAUUAAGCCGGAUGUGAAAUCUCGGGGCUCAACCCCGAAACUGCGUCCGGAACUGGUAACCUAGAAUGAUGAAGGGGGAGGCGGAAUUUCGCAUGUAGGGGUAAAAUCCGUAGAGAUGUGAAGGAACACCAGUGCCGAAGGGGGCCUCCUGGGCAUCUAUUGACGCUGAGGCGCGAAAGCGUGGGGAGCAAACAGG